UGGGGAAUAUUGCACAAUGGGCGCAAGCCUGAUGCAGCCAUGCCGCGUGUGUGAAGAAGGCCUUCGGUUGUAAGCACUUUCAGCGAGGAGGAAGGUGGUGAGCUUAAUACGCUCAUCAAUUGACGUUACUCGCAGAAGAAGCACCGGCUAACUCCGUGCCAGCAGCCGCGGUAAUACGGAGGGUGCAAGCGUUAAUCGGAAUUACUGGGCGUAAAGCGCACGCAGGCGGUUUGUUAAGUCAGAUGUGAAAUCCCCGGGCUCAACCUGGGAACUGCAUUUGAAACUGGCAAGCUAGAGUCUCGUAGAGGGGGGUAGAAAUUCCAGGUGUAGCGGUGAAAUGCGUAGAGAUCUGGAGGAAUACCGGUGGCGAAGGCGGCCCCCUGGACGAAGACUGACGCUCAGGUGCGAAAGCGUGGGGAGC
rnacentral:rRNA from 1 species